GCGGGAUUUUAUGCUGAUCACAAACAAAUCCUUGAAAGAAGAAGAUGGAGAAGAAAUAGUUACCUAUGAUCAUUUGUGUAAGAAUUGUCAUCAUGUAAUAGCCAGACAUGAGUAUACAUUCAGUAUCAUGGAUGAAUUUCAGGACAAAAUCAAAGGGACCCUUAGGAGGAGAGUGUGUCAUUUUCUAGGGGAAAAAAGAAGUUUUCAGUGCCUCAGCUCUUGCCAGGCUGAAGAGACAAAGUUGUGUUUAUCUUGAAAAGUCUUUCAGUGCGUGGUGCCACUUGUCCUGGAGAACACACCAGCCUCUGCCCCUGCACUGUACCAUCUCCUAUAUUAUAUCCCCCACCUCCACCUCAUCCCCCAGCCCCCAAGUCAUGAGGCUCAGUCGUUGCUGGGAGAAUGGUGAAGAGGAGUCACAGAACAGGUGGAUAAACUUAGUGGAUGAACUGCACCUACCUUCCUCUCAGACAGAGAUUUGGUCCCCAAGACUUUUCAGAGCGGGUUUGUGCUGGUCACCUUCCCACAGAAGGAAGUGUGUGGAGGAAGUUGAAGCUGCUGUGGUUCCAGACGCAGGCAGGUCACCCCUGAUGCUUUCAACAAGAGGCGUGCAGUGCAUCGCAGGACAUCUGCUAAGGGCCAUCUCAGAGGCCCACCCCUGGAAGCCACAGAAACCGAAAAGACCCAAGCACCCGCCAACUCAACAAGUUACUCUUU
rnacentral:lncRNA from 1 species